rnacentral:rRNA from 1 species
GACGAACGCUGGCGGCGUGCUUAACACAUGCAAGUCGAACGGAAAGGCCCUGCUUUUGUGGGGUGCUCGAGUGGCGAACGGGUGAGUAACACGUGAGUAACCUGCCCUUGACUUUGGUAGAACUUCAGGAAACUGGGGCUAAUAUCGUACAGCAGCUCCUGUUGCGUUGAGGGCAUGGGAAAGUUUCGGCGGGUGGGGAUGGACUGGCGGCUAAUCAGCUUGUUGGUUGGGUAGUGGCUUACCAAGGGUGUGACGGAUAGGCGGCAUGAGAGGGUGACCGGCGACAUUGGGACUGAGAUACGGCCCAGACUGCUACGGGAGGCAGCAGGGGGGAAUAUUGUACAAUGGGAGGAAGUCUGAUGCAGAAACGCCGCGGGCGGGAUGACGGCCUUCGGGUUGUAAACCGCCUUCGCCUGUGACGAAGCGUGAGUGACGGUAAUGGGUAAAGAAGCACCGGCUAACUACGUG